UUGAGUGGAGCUCAGUGGCAGAGGCCAGGCCUUGUGUGUCUGAGGUCCUGGGUUCUAUUCCCAGCACUAAAA
rnacentral:tRNA from 1 species